CCAAUUUAUGGCAUCGCAACUAUGAAUUCUACAAUUCCUAGUCCAACUGAACUUGUCUUCUGGAAACGGUGGAUCUAUAACUAUAUAGAUACAAAUUCAUCCCCAAGUUUCGAAAGUGCUUCUUUGCCCAUCCAACAUGCAGACACAGGGGAAAGAGCACGAGGAAAACUUACAGGCCUAGGACAUCGUUUGCUUCAAUGGCUCGUUUCCUCUUCCUAUAAUCUUAUAGG